GGAAAAACGAAUAGCUCGAUUUUGUUUUGAAUAGACGGGAAGACACGCAGAUAUAUUGAUAAAAGAAACUCGUGCGGUCACUAUUCCUGCCGGCGCUGGCCCUCCUGCUGUCGGCAGUGACCAAACCCAUCAGCGGCGGAGCCGUCUCUUUCGUCACUAUCCGGAAAAAUGACGGCGCUCACGGUCACAGUUCCACCUCGUACGGCAUUCAGCACGGCGAUCCUGCCGGUCCCGGCACUGCACGCGUGCAGGUGCUCCAGGGCAACACCCUGGGACCGGCGCCAGGUCCUCUGAGACGCGGCUCCGGGCCACCACCGGUCCCGGUCCACCCGCAGCCAGCGCAGCUGUCAGGGUUCGCAGGAGGUCCUCUAGGACCGAACGGCGUCUCUGGGGGGCCGGUGGGUCUGGUGGGUCCGAGUGUGGGUGGACCGUUGGCUGGUCCUGGUGGCUUUGGAGGACCAGGAGGACCAAGAGGACCAAGAGGACCGGGAGGACCGGGAGGACUGAAUGGACCGUCUGGACCUAUCGGAGCUCGUCUGGUCCAGCCCGGACCGCUGAAUGGACCACUGGAUGGUCCAUUGGAUGGACCACUGAACGGUCCUCUGGACGGCCCAAUCGGUGGCCCGGCUGGUGUGCCCAACCACAGUCUGAUUCGGCUCAGAGACGAUCCAGCCAAUCGAGUCGGAGUUAACGGUCGCGCGCCAGUGAAGGACAGUCUACCGAGGCCAGCGCUGCGCACAAUCACCGGCACCCCGGUCUGGGUGCCGAGCUUUACCAACGACCCGCCCUCGUACGAGAAAUAAAACACUCAAACCGCCCUCCAACGAGAGAUAAAGCACCAUUAGAGGGGCGCAGCAAAUCGCAGAGGAGUUGGUAACGAGAUACAAUUCACUGCCUUUUGAUAAUCCAAGUCUCCGAGACGUGGGAUUCUUAGACGGAGACAUUGGAAGCUUACCCUUACUCCGAAGUGCAAACGGGAGAAAAAUGUCUUGCCUCAAGAUAGCCUCAAGAUAGACCAUCGCCUGUGAGUGGUGAUAAUCUGGCCUUGCCGAACUCGUGUGGGCUCAUGUGAUGGCGCUUGCGGUCUGGACUGAAACGUGAAAGCACAGCGACAGAUACUGGACUUUUGCCUCAUGAGAUUAGCUGGCCAACCCGGAUGGAUGAGACCGAUGCUAUCAAUGUGGGAACGGAGACUGACUUCGCAGUGUCAUUGUACGUACUACGUGCCUUCAGUCGUAAAAACGGCCAUCUGCUCAUGUUGUGUGUCAAACAUGUUCACGUACGGAAUGUGUAUAACUGCAUUCACAUGCAUGUGUACCUAUGUCCCGCAUACCAUUUAGAAAAAGAGAGAAAAAACCUAAGCAACGCAUCUACAUGUGAGCAUAUGCACAAGUAUACAGGCAUGCAAAAUGCACAUAGAACAUGCAAUGAAUGUGUAGCGUUCAAUUUGCUGUAUUUGAUCAUCAUGGACUAGAUACAUCAUUGUUGAGCUGGAUGACAUUACACUAUUGUGUUUUAGUGUUUGCAAUGGACAGUCUGAAUGUCAUCCAUGUUUUAAUAAAGCAGCAAAUUUCUAUUUGCCAAGAGA
rnacentral:misc_RNA from 1 species